UGCAAUGUCUAAAAGCCUGGACUAGCUUCACUAUGUCCUUUGUGAACAAGCCUGCUAAAAAGGAACAACAGUUUACAAAGUGAACCUAGUCAGUUUCUUGCUGAGAGUUGAUGAUCAUGAGUCUCAGUCUACUCUUGUGGUUGAUACAGCUACAGUUUUUUACAGCUACAGUUGAUGUACAGUCAAUUGUUGCUCAUUCUCCAUCACCCUAUUCUUCUACUUCCUCUACUAAUACUACUACUAGUACUAUUACCACUACAGAAGUCAGUGUUGGAGCUACACCACCCACUACUUUAUUACAAUAACCUUCGCUACCAAAAAAUUGUGCUAAAAAGCAUAGAUACUAUAUACCCCUGGAUACGAAACUCCUCUAUGCACACAUAUAAAAUCCCAUAAGGAAACGUCAUAAACGUCACAUCCGGCUGUCCUCACCCUUGUUUCGCUGCAUUCAUGGCUGCCAGGGUAAGUAAAACAAUCACAGUAGCCUAUUCGUU